rnacentral:rRNA from 1 species
GACAGAGGGGGCAAGCGUUGCUCGGAAUCACUGGGCGUAAAGGGCGCGUAGGCGGGAUGGCAAGUCGGUCGUGAAAUCCUUCGGCUCAACCGAAGAACGUCGGCCGAUACUGCCGUUCUUGAGGGAUGCAGAGGAGAUUGGAAUUCCCGGUGUAGCGGUGAAAUGUGUAGAGAUCGGGAGGAACACCGGUGGCGAAGGCGGUUCUCUGGGCCUGACCUGACGCUGAGGAGCGAAAGCGUGGGGAGCGAACAGG